UAAAUAAGAUGCUGAAUAGGUUUUAUUUUGAUCUCUAAAGAAGCGCUGAUCUAGACUCUGGGCUGUGAUAGAUUAUUUAUAAAUAUCUAUACAAACUCCACUGCAUCCAUAUUCACAUAGAUCAUAAAAAACCUGCCAAAUAACCCUGGUUUAGCAAACCCUCUAAUGAAAUCCUGGAAGUAUAGUCUGACUCAUGCCCUGAAGAUCAGUAAAUCUAGGCUCCGUCAGACUUAGGGCUUGUCUACACUUACCAGGGGAACGAUGUGUGGUGAUUGAUGCAUCGGCAGUCGAUUUAGUGGGUCUAGACCCGCUAAAUCUACGGCAGAUCACUCUCCUGUCGACUCCUGUACUCCACCUGAACGAGAAGUGCAAGGGGAGUCGACGGGAGAGCAUCUCCUGUCGACAUAGCAUAGUGUGGACCCCGCGGUAGGUAGAUCUAAGUACAUCAACUUCAGCUAUGCUAUUCAUAUAGAUCGUUAUAACUUAGAUCCUUCUCCCUCUGUAGUGUAGACAAGGCUUAAGACUGGCAGUGGAUUCCUCAGUCAAGGAGCACAUGCUGAAAAUGCCACCCCCACCCCCAGCAUUUAAACCAAAGAACCAUUAACUUGAGGACUAGACUGCUGGAACUUGUGUUAGCUAGAUUCUGGGCACUGUACCUGUUCUAUGAGCCAUUAGCAACUCUGAAGGAUGCCUACUAUGAUGUGACUUUGAAGCCACUGGACGAAGUUUGGCAAGAGAAAACAGAGGCAUAUAUGAAGAAAAUCCAGGCUUUUGUGCCCAGUAUUGUAAAGGAUGUAUGGUUAAUGGAACCAAUCCAGGUGACAUUAAGAGCCAUGAAAACAGGCUUGGAUAUGGUUAGUAUAAAACAACGCUUCAUUUUUAUAUGGGUCGGAGGGGAUGGCUUACAGGCCUAAGCAUCAGCUUUGAAAUAUCGAGUCUCUCUCUAUACGCAGGUCUGGUUCAAGUCCCACUCAGGCUGUUCAAAUGAGAUCUUAAUAAAAUUCAAGGUUUUGUCUGCUCUGUGUGAACA
rnacentral:lncRNA from 1 species